GAUGAACGCUGGCGGCGUGCUUAACACAUGCAAGUCGAACGGAAAGGCCACAGCUUGCUGUGGUACUCGAGUGGCGAACGGGUGAGUAACACGUGGGUGAUCUGCCCUGUACUUCGGGAUAAGCUUGGGAAACUGGGUCUAAUACCGGAUAGGAAUCACAUGUGGGUGUGUGGUUGGAAAGCUUUUGCGGUAUGGGGUGAGCUCGCGGCCUAUCAGCUUGUUGGUGGGGUAAUGGCCUACCAAGGCGUCGACGGGUAGCCGGCCUGAGAGGGUGUACGGCCACAUUGGGACUGAGAUACGGCCCAGACUCCUACGGGAGGCAGCAGUGGGGAAUAUUGCACAAUGGGCGCAAGCCUGAUGCAGCGACGCCGCGUGGGGGAUGACGGCCUUCGGGUUGUAAACUCCUUUCGUCAGGGACGAAGCGAAAGUGACGGUACCUGGAUAAGAAGCACCGGCUAACUACGUG
rnacentral:rRNA from 1 species